UUACGGCCAGAUCAUGUUGAAACACCAGUUCCCAUUUGAUUACCAAAGUUAAGCAACAUUGAGCCUAUUCAGUAUCUUGAUGGGUGGCAGCUUGGGGUUACCAGGUGCUGUAGG
rnacentral:rRNA from 1 species